UUGGAGUCCUCCACUGUUUGGAAGUGUCGUGUUUCCCAAACGCAGGGCUGUUGUGUCUUAUUUGACAUAUCUUCCUGUUUCACAGGUUAAAGACUUUUUGAAGUAAAGAGGAGCAUCUCAUCUGAACCUGAUGUCUAUCAUGGAUAUUUAACUGCAGUUCUGUGAGUAUCCCAACUUAACCAUGAAGAUGAACUGCAAACUGUAAGUCAUUAAUUUCUCAUUACUCUUGGGCACAUUGAUGUAUUUUGGCUUCCUGUUGAGUUAACCCUUUACCUGAAGGUUGAUCUGAGUUGUAAGGAUGUUUUAUUGGUUCAUUGGUUACUUAGGUGUUUGGUUUAUGUUGGUUUUAAUGAUUUGUUAAAAUGGUUACAGGCUCCCAAGUUAUUGUUGUAAGCUGGAGUAAUGGUUGGGUUCUGAUAUCUUCAGUCUUCUUUCCAGCUACUCUCCUGAGCUCUGCAUCUUCAUCACAUGAGUGUUGCUCUACUGACGAGGCUGUGGUCUGAGUGAGCAGAGGUGCAUACUGGGAUACAGAGCUAUCUGAAGUCUACAGGUCUGUAGACACGCCCCCUCAGGGGAAACCGAGUGUUUGAGAAACCGUCGUGACGUCAGUUACAUGGACUGGAAUGUUCUUUAAGAUGGAGACAGGGAUUCAGAAAGAGAAACACCAGGGGGAGAUGAGGGGGCUCCUCAUCUCAACCACUAAAACACAACUUCAGUCUGACACAGAACCAUGGAACACAUUCAACAGUCCCCUCAGGCAUCGUGACUCCUCAGGAACAGUUUCAUUUCCAAGAAGGUCUUAUUUGGGGCCAUCCCCAUAUGGAUCCUGCUCCUCAAGAGCCACCCCCCUCCACUGGGUGGUCUUCUGAACAGAUGACCUUCCUGUCCUCAGGCUGACUAAAGCUGCACCGUUUGCAUCUGUGAAGGCCCCUCAUUCAGGAAACACUGGACUACAAAGACAUGACUUCAGAGACGUUGAAUCACCUUGGGACACAUUUUGGAGACGCCAAGCAUAAUCCAUCACCAAUGUGGGACGCCACUGAAAAAUGUUGCACAUAAUUAACUUCUCUGGAGACAUUGGUUGUUCUGUUCUGGGUGCCCUGGCAGGAGAGCUGGGGUUGGAUGAUGGAACGUUAUUUGGCAGAGUGUGUGUGUGUGUGUGUCACACCUGGCAUGGGGUACGUGUGUGUGUGUGUGUGUGUGUCACACCUGGCAUGGGGUUCUACGUGUGUGUGUGUGUGUGUGUGUGUGUCACACCUGGCAUGGGGUUCUACGUGUGUGUGUCACACCUGGCAUGGGGUUCUACGUGCGUGUCCUGGGUUCUAUGUGUGUGUGUCCGGCUUGCUUUGACAGUAAUAAUGUUCAUACGGGGGUCUGUGUGAUUGGCUUGGGAUAUUGGAAUGGUCAACUAAAUCAUACCUGAUGGACGGCCACACGUUUACUUAAGGGCCUCCAGUAGACAUGAAGAGCCCUGAGCGAUGCUCCGGAGCGAGAUCCAACACACUGGGCAGGAAGGAGAGUAUCCAACUCAAGUGUAAAAGGAUGCAAGCGGCGGGUUCAGAUCAGCGACUUCAAACUAGGACUACACCGAUCAGGAUCAAUGGAGGAUGGACACCUAAAGGAAUUCCCAAAGGAGAGUCUGACGUUGGAAAGGGACCUAAAUGGAUGUUCAAGAUAACCUUCAGACCUGUAAUGAGACGGCUCUUUCUACCUGGCUGGAUUGAUGGAGAGCCCUGUGGAUCUUGUCUUGCUCUCAGUUGCGCAUCUUCUCAGGCUGAACUGUAUUUGUUUCGGACAGGACUAGCUGAACGAUUGGUUCCCUUAAAUCAGAACCAAUCUGGGAACUCCAACUAGUGCGCUCUUUGAGCUGAAGUGGUGCUCUUCAGCUGAGGAGGUAUGGAAACCUUCACUGGGGUUUCAAGGUGUAAAGAGGAGGAUCUUUCAAAGUGUUCCAUGGUACUCUGAUGAGGACCGUUGUUGUGUUCCAUUGGCUGGGAGGAAGAACCCUCACAUCUUCCUCUUGGCCUUUCUCCUCUGAGAAUCCUGGCGCCAUCUUGAAGGAUAUUCCAGCUCAUGUAACUACUGUCACGACAGAUUCUCAAACACUUGGUUUCUCCUGAGGGGCGUGUCUAUAGAACUGAAGACUUGAGACGGCACUGUAUCCCAGCAUGCAUCUCUGCUCACUCAGACCACACCCCCAUGAGUAGGAUGCAACAUUCUAGGGAUGGAGAUGUAGAGUUUUAUAAGUAACGAGGGAUAAGACAAAGGUAUUUAGAACACAAUGUCAAGUCUGUAAAUCUUUAAACCAUGGAGAUGAUUGGAUAGUUCAGGAAUUGGGCUUCUAUUUAUUAUGAGCAGUCCUUUCGCUCAGGUGCCCACUUCUCACUAGACCUGUACAUGUGUUGGCUGGCUGGCAUGAUUUGCUGUUGGUGAUGAGGCGGUCAAGGUGACGCUGGGCUAUGGUCGGCUCUGUGUGAGCUCAACGUUUAGAUUUGCUCUGUAUGGUUUGUACCCUGAAUAAUCUAGAUAAUUGUAAAAUGUAGACAUGGUUUUGUAUUGAAUGAUUCCAUUGUUCUUAGGCAAGGAUUUGAGGUUUAAAGUUGUUGUGGGACGUACAUGGUAGUUUGGUUCUUUGUACGGUUUUGAGUGAUAUAACAUGUACACACUGGGUGCAUAAUCAUGUAAUGACCAACAGCAACAAACAGAUCUCCUCAAGGUAAGUCUGUUGGCUGUGUUUUAAUGAAGACCAUCGCUGGACUUCAGGAUCUUCCUCCGUUCAGCUAAAGGUGAGGCGCUGGUUAUGUUUCUUUGGUUGGUUCCGGCCGGAAUGUUCGUAUUCCAGUCGGACGGUUUGUGCUUCCCGCCGUGGAGGUUUCUGAGUGCGUCACUUUAUUUAGUCCCAAUGGUUAGCAUAGAACGUUGUAGUCUUGAUAAACAUUAGAAGCCACCUGGCAGUUAGUUGGAGCGGAGUCCCCUGAGGGAAUCUGGCGGAACGUUCUGGAUUGUAUUUGCGUAACCUCGAGCCGCUGCCAACGGAAACAAUUUUUCAGUCGGUUUCCAUUGGGAAUUGUUGCCCCUUAUCUUAAACAAUUUAAGUUUGAUAUUAAAUAAUACAUUUAAUUUAAAGGGCGCCUUUCAAGACACACAAGGUCACCUUACAGAGCAUAAAGUUAUCAUAAAUCGUUUAAAAACAAGACUUUGUGGAAAAAUAAUAAUAAAUAAAUAAAUAAAACAAAAACAAGACAAAACAAACAAUCAAGACAGAUCAGUUAGACGUAAAAUACUGACACGUACGUCGUACAAUAUCUUGAUAAUUUUCGAUGGUUGCGCCGUACUUCUAACCACGUUGACGGGACUCGCGCUGCGUACGAAACGGCCUUCUACUUGCGGGCCCAUUUUUGACAUCAGUGAAGGCUGUAAAUCAUUUCAAGCUGGAAGACAUUUUGACAGUUCUUCAACGGAACCCAGCACCUGAAUAUGGCUGAGUAAAUUUGAUUUAAUAUCGAUACUGCUUAGUGUUUGUUACUUCAGCUUUUGUACGUUCUAAAUAUCUGCGGCCAUUAAUUGCCACAGAAGUUAAACCCUACCCAAUGGAAUGACGUUAAACAACGACUUUGUUGCAGUGUUACCAACUGGAUAAUAUCAAAGCUAAAAUAAUGGCCGUUCUUCUCACAUGUUACAGUAGAAGAUUAUCCAGAACUGUACAAGGUUAAAAAGGUAACAUGUAGUUUGUCCCAAGGUGUCUGCCUCCUCACCCAGAGCCAGACCUCCACCUCCUCACCCACAGCCAGACCUCCACCUCCUCACCCGGAGCCAGACCUCCACCUCCUCACCCAGAGCCAGACCUCCACCUCCUGUCAGAAGUCCUCCAGAACAGCUGAAAGGCGAGGCUGAGAGGCUGGGGACCGGAGGCUUGUUGUGCCAGGAUGGACCGGAGACUGAGGCUGGAGACCAGGGGCCUGCAGCACCGGACCAGAGGACCAGGAAUCCAUGUCUGGAGGAGCCGUGCUGAUGGAGGAGCCGUGCUGAAGGAGCCCUGCUGAAGGCCCUGCCUGGUGGAGGAGCUGUUGGAGUCCCUGCCUGGUGGAGGAGCUGAUGGAGGCCCUGCCUGGUGGAGGAGCUGAUGGAGGCCCUGCCUGGUGGAGGACGUCUGUCGUGGGACCAGGACUCUGUCUGAGGAGAGCUGCUGGAGGACGACUAGGAAUCGACCAACAAGGAUUCCUCAACGUGUUUCUGGAGUGGAGGCGAGCUGGUAGGGGAGCCGUGAAUCUGGAGGAUGACAUCACUCUACCAACAAGGAUUGGAAGUUUGUAUUAACCUAACAAAGUGGAAAUAAAGGGCUUUAAAAUAAGACAAACUACAUAUUUGUUUCCAGACGUUGGGGCCGGACUUGCGCUGUUUGUUCCAGACCAGGACUCUGGCUGAGGAGGGCUGAUGGAGGAGCCAAGACUCUGUAGGACGACAUCACUCCACCAACCAGGAUCCUCAGACAAAUUACGUUUGUAACCAGACCAGGAAUCUGGAGGACUGAUGGAGAAGCCGUACAUCUGGAAGGCAAAUCCUGAGGACAACCAGGACUCUACCAUCAAGGAUUCCUCACACAUCUGAGCUGAACCUCACCUGAUCCUGUUUGUCGGGGGCAGACACACCUGAGCUGAACCCCAACUGAACCUGACAUCCUGCUGGUCCCGUCUCCUCGGUUCAUCUAAGCCUCGUCCUCCAGAAGACCUGCUGAGCUCAGCAGUCUGAGGCUGAUGUAUCAAUGACCUCCAGUGGGAGUGAUCUUCUUGACCCCACAUGUAACUGUGUGCUUCCACACGUCUGUCACUAACCUCACUACUUCACUACUCUCUACUGCUUCCUCUUUUUCCUUCUCUGUGGUUCGAACCUUUACACGGAAGGCGCGUCUUCCUGCCCUCAGAGGGUUCAGCGUUAGGGUUGAGAGUCAGGGUUUAGAGUCAGGGACAGAGCUGGUCAGGGAGGACUGCUUUUACCCAAACCUCUUCACUUGCUUUCGGAAUGGUGGUGACAUUUUGAAAAGAUUCAUUUGGGAAAAUGUUUUCCUCUGCUUCCCUUUACAAAAUUGUAUUAAACUUCUGUCAAGUGCUUUUGUUUAUAUAUUAAAAUUCCAC